UUGAAACUCAUAGGAAUUGAAGGGGGCCCGCACAAGCGGUGGAGCAUGUGGUUUAAUUUGAAGCUACGCGAAGAACCUUACCAGGUCUUGACAUCUUGCGCCAACCCUAGAGAUAGGGCGUUUCCUUCGGGAACGCAAUGACAGGUGGUGCAUGGUCGUCGUCAGCUCGUGUCGUGAGAUGUUGGGUUAAGUCCCGCAACGAGCGCAACCCUUGUUACUAGUUGCCAGCAUUAAGUUGGGCACUCUAGUGAGACUGCCGGUGACAAACCGGAGGAAGGUGGGGACGACGUCAGAUCAUCAUGCCCCUUAUGACCUGGGCUACACACGUGCUACAAUGGACGGUACAACGAGUCGCGAACUCGCGAGGGCAAGCAAAUCUCUUAAAACCGUUCUCAGUUCGGGACUGCAGGCUGCUAACUCGCCUGCACGAAGUCGGAAUCGCUAGUAAUCGCGGUAUCAGCAUGCCGCGGUGCAAUACGUUGUCCCGGGCCUUGUACACACCGCCCGUCACACCAUGACGAGUUUGUAACACGUCCAACAGUCGGUGGGGUAACCUUUUAGGAGCCAGCCGCCAUCAAGGUGGGACAGAUGAUUAGGGUGAAGUC
rnacentral:rRNA from 2 species